rnacentral:rRNA from 1 species
GCUCCUGCUUGCAGGGGUACUCGAGUGGCGAACGGGUGAGUAACACGUGGGUGAUCUGCCUUGUACUUCGGGAUAAGCCUGGGAAACUGGGUCUAAUACCGGAUAGGACCAUGCUUUAGUGUGUGUGGUGGAAAGUUUUUUCGGUACAAGAUGAGCCCGCGGCCUAUCAGCUUGUUGGUGGGGUAAUGGCCUACCAAGGCGACGACGGGUAGCCGGCCUGAGAGGGUGUACGGCCACAUUGGGACUGAGACACGGCCCAGACUCCUACGGGAGGCAGCAGUGGGGAAUAUUGCACAAUGGGCGCAAGCCUGAUGCAGCGACGCCGCGUGAGGGAUGACGGCCUUCGGGUUGUAAACCUCUUUCGCUAGGGAAGAAGCCACUUGUGGUGACGGUACCUGGAUAAGAAGCACCGGCUAACUACGUGCCAGCAGCCGCGGUAAUACGUAGGGUGCAAGCGUUGUCCGGAAUUACUGGGCGUAAAGAGCUCGUAGGUGGUUUGUCGCGUCGUCUGUGAAAUCCCGGGGCUUAACUCCGGGCGUGCGCGAUACGGGCAUAACUGGCUGUAGGGGAGACUGGAAUUCCUGGUGUAGCGGUGAAAUGCGCAGAUAUCAGGAGGAACACCGAUGGCGAAGGCAGGUCUCUGGGCAGUAACUGACGCUGAGGAGCGAAAGCAUGGGUAGCGAACAGGAU